AGCAGGACUCAACUGUGAUGUUGAAGCCCAGCAGAGAGGUGGCUGGUUCUGCAGCCUUGGACACGUGGCCAUCAGCUCCUCAUCCACUUUUCCAUUGAACAAGGACUCCUGGAUCUCAUCAGGGUUGAAACCCACAAGUAACAUGAGUAUAAAAGGUGGAAGAAAGUCCUGCACCUUCUACAGAGGAUCAGCUCCUAAAACAGCACCUCUGCCUCCAUUGGGAUAUCCCAUGGAGAGAAACUUGAAGGUGACUCCCAGGAUCCCUACAGCUUCAGUGGAUCAGCGUGCCCUUUAACCCAACAAAGACAUGAGCACGUGCAUCCAGCAGGAUACCUCCACUCUCAGCCUCCUGUGAGCCACGCCCACCUGGGGCAGCAGCAGGCAGCAGAGGUGACCCCAGGUCCCCAGGCCUCCUCUCCUGCAUGCUGCCGUCCUCCUCACCUCCGCUUGAGUGCUCCAUCACAACGUAGCUGUCCUCACCUGCCUCGAUAACAUGGAACAGCUGGAUGACA